rnacentral:rRNA from 1 species
UGGGGAAUUUUGGACAAUGGGCGAAAGCCUGAUCCAGCAAUGCCGCGUGUGUGAAGAAGGCCUUCGGGUUGUAAAGCACUUUUGUCCGGAAAGAAAUCCUUGGCUCUAAUACAGUCGGGGGAUGACGGUACCGGAAGAAUAAGCACCGGCUAACUACGUGCCAGCAGCCGCGGUAAUACGUAGGGUGCAAGCGUUAAUCGGAAUUACUGGGCGUAAAGCGUGCGCAGGCGGUUUGCUAAGACCGAUGUGAAAUCCCCGGGCUAACCUGGGAACUGCAUUGGUGACUGGCAGGCUAGAGUAUGGCAGAGGGGGGUAGAAUUCCACGUGUAGCAGUGAAAUGCGUAGAGAUGUGGAGGAAUACCGAUGGCGAAGGCAGCCCCCCUGGGCCAAUACUGACGCUCAUGCACGAAAGCGUGGGGGAGCAAACAGGAUUAGAUACCCUGGUAGUCCACGCCCUAAACGAUGUCAACUAGUUGUUGGGGAUUCAUUUCCUUAGUAACGUAGCUAACGCGUGAAGUUGACCGCCUGGGGAGUACGGUCGCAAGAUUAAAACUUCAAAUGAAUUGACGGGGUCAUAGCUGUUUCCU